GCAAAACCAUUGCUCUACUUCGCUUACCUCCUCAAUUUGAAAGCCUUAGCAGGUACAAGGUCAAAUCCUUAGACGGACACCUGGGUGUAAGGGAUGAAAGAUCCCAAGGCUUCAUUGCACAGUCACACAUCUAACUUGUAUUUGCUUAAAAUUCUGACUCCUAACACGUUCAUCUUUUGCAUUAAAAAUAAUUAGCUAAAAAGUCUAUGAAAAUAAUUAAAAAUGAACUUAAGACUUUCAAUUUUAGAAACCCCAAGCAACUCUGCCAAUUGUAGUAAGUGACAUGCUGGGUAAAAUACAAAAGAUUUUUUAAGGAUGCACUGCUGAAUCAAACUCA
rnacentral:lncRNA from 1 species